rnacentral:rRNA from 1 species
UACGGAGGGUGCGAGCGUUGUCCGGAAUCAUUGGGCGUAAAGGGCGCGUAGGUGGCGACCCAAGUCAACGGUGAAAGCUCGGCGCUUAACGCCGAGUCGGCCGUCGAUACUGGGUGGCUCGAGCACUGUAGAGGCAGAUGGAAUUCCGGGUGUAGCGGUGAAAUGCGUAGAUAUCAGGAGGAACACCAGCGGUGUAGACGGCUUUCUGGACCAUUGCUGACGCUGAGACACGAAAGCGUGGGUAGCAAACAGG